rnacentral:misc_RNA from 1 species
CGGAAAAAGCAACAGGGUUUUAUAUUCCGUUUUACGCCGGACUUGAUAUUGGGAAGUUUUUAUGGUUUAAUUAUACGGCGAAAGAUCGAGAUCGGAAAAGUGAAAUGGUUCUCGAUUGGCUUAAAGAGCAGCCGACUUUCACUAGAGCUAACGGAGUAGAUCACUUCAUUAUGCUUGGUCGAUUAACUUGGGAUUUCAGACGAUUAACUGCGAACGAUUCAGAAUGGGGAUCGAGUUUGCUCUACAUGCCAUCGAUGAAGAAUGUGUUCCGUG